rnacentral:misc_RNA from 1 species
UGGCAUACCUCUUCAGUUACGCGUCAAGGCUUGUAUUGUCUUGAGCGUAUUGUCGGUUUACUGUGUUGCAUUCCUAAUUGAUGGUAUUCUUUUGGUUUGUGAAAGAACCUUUUCAUCUUGUAUUGCUUUUGCAAUGCAUAAUGAACCUCGAAGCUUUCUCUAUGUUGCACAAUGUUAAUUCUAGUCGGUUGAUGUUGUGGCCCAUUGAGUGUUGCUUGGUAUCCUGUAUACAGAUCAUUUAUUGGGCAUAGGGUUAAACUUAACUCUUGUUUUGCCCUUUUCAGUGUUCUUCAUGACGACAGUUCAUGCGCGCCUAGGCUCGUACCUGCGUGAUGUUCUUUGUCGGAGAUGAAUGCUACCUGGUUGAUCCUGCCAGUAGUCAUAUGCUUGUCUCAAAGAUUAAGCCA